GCCUUCGUGGUGAAAAGGUCAGCACACUGAGCCGGUAUUUCAGAGGUCCGCGGUUCGAUCCCCGGCGAAGGCA
rnacentral:tRNA from 1 species